GUGGGAUUUCAGUGAUGGAAGUGGUUGAUACUCCGGUCUUAGAAGGGGCUUCAUAGUGCUUCGUCUGAGAGACGAGAUAUUUCCAGUCAGGUGACCUAAGAGUGCCAGUGCAUCCACUGACUGGGAGACAUAUUUGUUAAUUUCCUCGCGUUGUGAGGAAGAAGCCUCUACAAGGAGAAAAUCUGUCGUUUGCAACAUUAUGUAGGCAACUUUCCGUAAAACUUGUUGCAUGUUAGCUAACCUUAGAUCUUCCUGUUUCUUAUAAUAUUUAAGAUGUUCCCAUGCACCUUUGUUGACCUUAAUAGGGUGCAGUGCAGUGCAGUUGGCUGGUCUUUUGUAUUUGUCAAGAAUAAUUUUCAAUUUUUCAGGGGUUAACGUCUUUCCCCAACGCUUGUUAAUUAUCUCGGCCAAUUUAUCAUUUACAUUAGCGCCGAGAUCGUCAGAAGUUUCAAGUGCUUUGGCUAAACCAUCAAGAAAUUCAGAUGUGUCUGGGUCUGCUUAAAUUGAUGGCCCGGUUGGCUCACUUUGUUUUUUGGCCUUAGUUUUUGCUAAUAGAUCGUGGGCAUCGCCCAGAAGUGAAUCAGUAUCGUCAUCUUCAUGAAUGCUAAGGCUUUCAUCAAUGUUAUUAUCAUUGGUAACAUUACGCUUUUCUGGUGGCUCGGAUUCAUCAGGGUCUGAUAAAUUUCGUUUGGGUUUACUCCGGUGGACGAUGAAGCAACAAGCCCAGUGGGCAAAGUCCGGUGGACAAGAGGUUCAUUCCGGUGGAAAUGUGACGGGCUGGCCGGUGGCCAAUUGCCAAACUCCCCCGAUGACACUUGAUGGAGAAGAGCCGCCAUGUUACCCAUAUUUGUAUUUAUUUCUAACAAAUUUUUGUUUAAUGAGGGGUCAAUGGAAGGCGAGGUUUCUAAUGGAGGUUCCUGCCGUUCCGCUCCAUCCUCAGACACAGUUUUGUCCUCUGAAUCUGACAUUUCUGGAGAAAUAUGGAGAAAUUUAAAAUUUUGUUUUUCCCAAUUAACUAUGAACAAGACUAAAUUGAUAAUGUUUGAGCCGAGUUAAAUCAACUAGAAAUUGAAAAUUUGUACACUUACCAAUCUAUCGCGACUUGGAAGCUUGUAAAACACGUCGUGAUGACUCGCAGCGAAGUCCGCAAUGACUUGUAGCGCAUGCGCCCGCAUCUCAUGGGAUUCCAUAGUGACGUAGCUGAUUAUAGAGAAGAAUUCACACUGCUUGAAUGUUAAAAGCUAUUUAUCUACGUAAUCAACAAAUUAGAACUCACCAUAACAAAUACAUGGCAAUAUAUUUGCAUAUCGGCAGGAAUGUCUAUGAAACUUACGUGGAAAAACGCUUCAUUUUACCAAAACAAAAUGCAGCUCUUCUAUCUCGUAAAAUCGUAGUAGCAUCAGCAUCUUAACCAAUGUAAUCCGCUUUAAAGUGAAUAUGAAACGAAUUUUUUUAUUGAAGUUUCUUACAUAUGUAGACACGCUAAAUCCAUAUUUUUUGGUUUCAGUGUCAAAUUCGUAAUAAGUUUUCUGUAAUUUGCGGUUAAAGUUGCGAAAUUUCAUCAAAAUUAUGGCGGGGCGAAAACGCGGUCGAGUCACGUGCUUUGUAGGCUUGUGACGUCAAGUGUUGGACUCGAAGUAAACACCUUCCAAAACUUUCUAUGCGGUUUAUCAUUUUGCUGGCAAGUUUUUCUUUUUUUUGCUAUUGUGAAAUCUCAAGCAAGGGAGUAUUGUCAACCUUUACGAAAAGGGUGUUAAGAGAAUUGAAUGCACAACAAAUAAGCCUUGGGAAACGCAAUUUUAGAUGACUUUGCGAGUUUAUGACUUCACAAAAGAAUUGAGAAACAUGCAAAUCAGACCAUUCAAAACAUGUGAAAAUUUUAUUAGUGGUAAUUGUGCAAGACUCUGGGACAAUAUCAAUAAAAGAGUUAACUGGCUAGAGAAUUUCAGUCAACAUCAAAUCCAUUCUAACGUUGCGGUUAGACUAGGCGAGCAUUCGAAUCGGAAUAAGCAACCUUCAGCUUAGGCCCGUUUCCGAAAGCCGGUCAGCAAAUCGUUUGUGCUCGAAGUUUGAUUUUACGAGUAUCCAUUCUUAAAUGGAGAAUGAAGCAAGAUCUGCAAAGACUUAUCGACGCGGAGGUCAGUAUUGUGUUGCAGGACUACCAAACGGGAAACCAUGCACCAGUAGUAGUGGUACUGUCGGUAUUUCAAUACAUCGUUUUCCAAAGAACCCGGAAGUAAGGAGCAAAUGGACUGCGUUUGUUCGACGGUACCGUGUAAAUUUUGAUCCAGAAACGUACAGCAAAGGACCUUUUCUGUGCUCUUUACAUUUCAAUCCUACCUGCUUUUCGAAAGCGUUAGUAUCCAAUUUAGGGGACUUUGAUGCAGAACACACGAAGCGUUUUCUUCUCCGAGAAGCUGUGCCAACGCUGCACAAUCCUCCACAAGAAGAGACAUCUUAUUCAAGCAGAGAAAAACGCCGGCUGGUAAAAGAAGCAAUGCAAGCUACACUUCAAUUUAAUGACGACAAGGCCAGUUCCACAAAUGAAGCCUCUCCCAUUCUGACAACAGAACCUGAUCAUGAGGAAAGUAUAUUUGAUGUAGAAGCAUGUCCCCUCCAUCUCUCAUGUGCUCCAAUGACUGGUUGUCCUACUUGUUGUGAUGCUGUUGGAGAAACAUUAGGCUUGCCAAAUUCAAGAAACAAGUCUGUUGAAGCCAAACUGCCCUGCAGUAGGUGCAAAUUUUACAUGCAGGAAAAAGACAGCAUGAAAAAAAGGAAAAGAGGCUGAAUUGCAAAAUCGAGAAGCUGAAAGAUGAAAUAGUCUUUCUGAAAACCUGCUUGGUAAGCAUUUCUGUUGAUAUCUAAAACACUGAUGUGGCAAUUUAAAUGUCUUAUUUCCUUUCCUUACUCAAAAGGCCAGAAUCCUUCCAGUAUAUGUACUUUGUAUAAAAACUGCCUCUUUUCAUCAAGUCCUGAUAACCAGAUGUGAUUCUUCAUUCUUACUUUUAAACAUCCUGUAUGGUGCAGAUAACUAAACAAAGUAAAUGUGACAAUUUAUUUAUGUUGAUAGGCAAAAAAAACUUCACCAAACAAUGAAGCUGAAGCACCAGAGGCAAAAAAAGAUCAAUUUGCAGCUGGGAUAGACAGUGGUGACGAGAGUGAUGUUUUUUCAGAUGGUGAUGAAGAUGACAUCUUUGAUUUGAAUAUGACAAGUGAAAGUGAUUUGGAAAAGGAUGAUGAUGAGGAUGACGUUGACAAUGGGCACUUGUUUGAUGCAACUCCAAGAAGCUACAUUAGGGUUGAUCCAGCAACUCCCAAAGAAGAAGAGCCAAAGUUUAUUGUUUUUUACAGUAUGCUCAUGAAUCUCUUGUCAAUGUUCUGUUUUAAAUGCAAAGAUAAUUCCCCAACUGUAAAUUUGUUGAAGAAUGGAACAAUGAUAACUGCCAUUCAGAGCUGUAACAGAUGUGGAAAAGAUUCCUUUGUCUGGAGAUCUCAGCCUUUUUAUUUUUGGAAGGUACCCGGCUGGAAAUGUGCUUCUCAGCUUUGGGAUAUUAGCAGCUGGUGCAUCAGUCAGGAAAGUAUUGCUUGUUUGCAGGCACCUUGGACUCAUGACCUACCAGGCACGAACUUUCUUUUUGCACCAGAGAAACUUUAUUUUCCCUAGCAUCAUACGGCAUUGGCAACUCUACUGCUCUACAACAUUGAAUCAAGUUUUGCAGCUGUCAGAUCGCAUUAUUGUUUGUGGUGAUGGGCGGUUUGAUUCAAUGGGCCAUUCUGCGAAAUAUGGCAGCUAUACUUUCUUUUGCGAAAAUAUCAUGAAGAUAGUUCACUUUGAGCUUGUGCAGGUGAGACAUAGAAGCUUAUAAGGACAGAUAUACAUAUGUGCACAUUUUAUGCAAUUCUACCCAAAAGAUGAUUUUAAAUGAAAAUUUUGGAAUUAACCAUACAUUUAAUAAGGUCUUCAUUUUUUGGUCUAAUUGUUUCUUUGUUCCAUGAGUGUAAGGAGGUACCAAUUUCUCAAAAAUAAGGAGGUACCAAUUUCAGUUUUUGUUUCUGAUCGCCACACUGGUAUUGCAAAAUGGAUACGGGAUUCAGAGAAGCAAUUAAAACAUUAUUUUGACAUCUGGCAUGUUGCAAGAACAAUUACAAAAAAAUUAUUGAAGGCAGGUAAAGAGAAGGAUUGUGAGCGAAUCAGUGAAUGGGCAUCUUCCAUUCGAAAUCAUUUAUACUGGUGUGUAACAUCAACAAAGGAGGGUUUCCAUGAGCUAAUUGAAGCAAAAUGGAAGUCAGUUAUUCGCCAUAUUGCAAAUGAGCAUGAGAAUCAUCCAGACCCCUUAUACAAAAACUGUAAACAUGAAAAACUAAGGAAGAGGCAUUGGAUCAAAAAUGAUAAGUCAUAUAAACCAACAAUUGUAUAUCCUAAUUUCUGUUAUAGGUCAGUCAUGACAAUUUACACUUAUAAAUUGGUCUUACCUAAAUUCUGAUUGUCAUAUCUUUUAAAAAAUGAAAGAAUACUUAAAAUACAAUAAAAUAUAUCUUACAACCUUAUUGACUAGUGCAGUCAUUUUAGAUUUUAACAAAAGAUGCAUCUUCAUUACAAGGUACUGUCACCCACAACAAACUCAAGGCAAUAUUGUUGGACAAAAGACUUUUAAAUGGUAUUCGGCAAUUAUCUCCCAUGGUGCAAACAAGUUGUCUUGAGGGAUACCAUUCAACAUUGAAUCAGUGGCAUCCAAAAAUGCUACACUUUCAAUGGAUUGGGACUUUCUGCAGGCAUAUUCUGACAAUUUGUCAUUUUAAUGAAAAUUUGAAAAGGGACAUUCAGAAGAAAGCUGAUGGUACUGAAGUCAUGCGGAUAUCUUGACCCAAAUUCAAACUAGGGGAAGAAUCAGUCCGUAAAGUCCCAGUUGCUCCAACUUAUGAGUAUGUUGAUACAAUCAGAAAGCUGAUGUUUACAAUCCAAAAAGCUGAAUGCAAUGAAAUAAUGAAACAAUAUGAAAGGAUUGCCCCACAGUUUAAAGACCUAUUGCCGAAAUUAGAGGCUGUUCAGAAAUAUUUAGAGAGGACUCAAAGUACAACUUCAAUGUAUCCAACAGGUAAACAACUAUUUUGAAUGAUUUUAUUUUCAUAGAUCAAAAAAUUUUUACCUUUUUUUUUAAAUUAGUCUGUGAGUAGCAAGUGUAAUUAUCCAUCAAGUUGACAAAACAAUUUGGUUAUAUGAUGUUCUUUUUUUCCAUAGAGAGGGAGCAAAGUGGCCAACAAGAACUACUUUUACACCAGGAACAGUCAACAGCAAAUCGUAAAAGAAAAGCCCCAAAAUGUAAAGUCUGCAAUCAGCCAAAAAAAGGACACCCAAAGAAAAAAUGCCAAAAAUGAACCUUGAAUUCUAUAUUAAUUUAUUUUAAGUAAUUUACUGUCUUUCUGCUGAGUCUUUGUAACCUUUGUUUUGGCCAACUUGGUACA